UACGAAGGGGGCGAGCGUUGUUCGGAUUUACUGGGCGUAAAGGGCGCGCAGGCGGCGCAUUUUGUCAGGGGUGAAAUCCCAAGGCUCAACCUUGGAACUGCCUUUGAUACUGGGGAUCUCGAGUCCGGAAGAGGUUGGUGGAACUGCGAGUGUAGAGGUGAAAUUCGUAGAUAUUCGCAAGAACACCAGUGGCGAAGGCGGCCAACUGGUCCGGUACUGACGCUGAGGUGCGAAAGCGUGGGGAGCAAACAGG
rnacentral:rRNA from 1 species